UCUGUUGAAUCAUCACCAGGUGUGUUUUAUUCUCGUUUGCGUGUUUUUCCACAGGUGUUGCGGUGGAAUUCCCAUCUCCGUCUUCACUCUCAUUUACGAGACCCCCAUAAAUCCAGGCGUGUUUAUCAUUUCCAUCCAAUCAGGAGACACAUUUAUGAACAGUGGAGAUCUGAAAGACGGGAAUUAGGCACUUGAACCAACUGAGUGAAAGACAAAUUUUUGUUGGCAUCUUGAUGAAAGCAUCAAAGUAGUGGAACGGUUCUCAUUUGAACAGUGCAUUUCCUGAAGUCGGUCAUAUACAAAAGUCUGGAAACAAAGAUGGUCGGAAUUUUAAAAAAAAAUCAAAAGGGAUAUUCUCUUCUGUUGCAGUAGUGUUUAAUCGUUCCCAGAGUGUGUGUGUUUCGCUGACAUCGGUACUCUGAAUGGUUUAAAGCAUUAAUUAACGAUAUCAAUGUUUGAUCUGAAUUGCAGUAAAAUGUAUUCAAGAUGCUGAAUUACUUUUUUUAUUGUUAGCAUUCAUAUUUUUAGCCCUAAAUUCAGAUUCCUUUGAUUGUGAGGUUAUUGAUUAAUUGAUUUCAAUUAAAUGACCCAGCCAGAACUCUUAACUAACCAUAACCCUGACUAAUCCUAACUCUAAGGCUAGUAUUUACUGGAA